rnacentral:rRNA from 1 species
UCUGGUUGUUAACAUUCAGACUUCCGGGGGAUACUGCUGGCUAGGGACCCGGAGAGGCCGGGGGAAUUCCCGGGGUAGGGGUGAAAUUCCUGUAAUCCCGGGAGGACCCACCUGUGGCGAAGGCGCCCGGCUGGAACGGGUCCGACGGUGAGGGACGAAGGCCAGGGGAGCGAACCGGAUUAGAUACCCGGGUAGUCCUGGCUGUAAACGAUGCGGGCUAGGUGUCACCAGAGCCACGAGCUCCGGUGGUGCCGGAGGGAAGCCGUUAAGCCCGCCGCCUGGGAAGUACGGCCGCAAGGCUGAAACUUAAAGGAAUUGGCGGGGGAGCACUACAACGGGUGGAGCCUGCGGUUCAAUUGGAUUCAACGCCGGGAAGCUUACCGGGGGAGACAGCUGGAUGAAGGUCGGGCUGAAGACCCUACCAGACUAGCUGAGAGGUGGUGCAUGGCCGCCGUCAGUUCGUACUGUGAAGCAUCCUGUUAAGUCAGGCAACGAGCGAGACCCGCGCCCUCAGUUGCCAGCGGAUCCCUUCGGGGAUGCCGGGCACACUGAGGGGACUGCCGGCGCUAAGCCGGAGGAAGGUGCGGGCAACGGCAGGUCCGUAUGCCCCGAAUCCCCCGGGCUACACGCGGGCUACAAUGGCCGGGACAAUGGGUACCGACCCCGAAAGGGGUAGGUAAUCCCCUAAACCCGGUCUAACCUGGGAUCGAGGGCUGCAACUCGCCCUCGUGAACCUGGAAUUCCGUAGUAAUNNNCGCCUCAAAAUGGCGCGGGAAUAC